CUUUACUGUAGCUUUGCAUUGGACUUUGACGGGACUUGUGUAGGAUAGGUGGGAGGCGAUGAGAUCGGGACGCCAGUUCCGAUGGAGCCGUCCUUGAAAUACCACCCUGGUGUCGUUGAGGUUCUAACCUAGAUCCAUCAUCUGGAUCGGGGACCGUGCAUGGUAGGCAGUUUGACUGGGGCGGUCUCCUCCCAAAAGGUAACGGAGGAGUACGAAGGUCUUCUAGGUACGGUCGGACAUCGUACUGAUAGUGCAAUGGCAAAAGAAGGCUUGACUGCGAGACCGACAAGUCGAGCAGGUGCGAAAGCAGGUCAUAGUGAUCCGGUGGUUCUGUAUGGAAGGGCCAUCGCUCAACGGACAAAAGGUA
rnacentral:rRNA from 1 species